GGGGGCCCGCACAAGCAGCGGAGCAUGUGGCUUAAUUCGACGCAACGCGAAGAACCUUACCAAGGCUUGACAUAUACCGGAAAGCUGCAGAGAUGUAGCCCCCCUUGUGGUCGGUAUACAGGUGGUGCAUGGUUGUCGUCAGCUCGUGUCGUGAGAUGUUGGGUUAAGUCCCGCAACGAGCGCAACCCUUGUUCUGUGUUGCCAGCAUGCCUUUCGGGGUGAUGGGGACUCACAGGAGACUGCCGGGGUCAACUCGGAGGAAGGUGGGGACGACGUCAAAUCAUCAUGCCCCUUAUGUCUUGGGCUGCACACGUGCUACAAUGGUCGGUACAAAGGGCUGCGAUGCCGCGAGGCGGAGCGAAUCCCAAAAAGCCGGCCUCAGUUCGGAUUGGGGUCUGCAACUCGACCACCAUGAAG
rnacentral:rRNA from 1 species